CUACGGGUCGCUCCAGUGAGGAAUAUUGCACAAUGGAGGAAACUCUGAUGCAGCAACGCCGCGUGGAGGAUGACGCAUUUCGGUGUGUAAACUCCUUUUAAGAGGGGAGAUUAUGACGGUACCUCUUGAAUAAGCACCGGCUAACUCCGUGCCAGCAGCCGCGGUAAUACGGAGGGUGCAAGCGUUACUCGGAAUCACUGGGCGUAAAGGGUGCGUAGGCUGGCUUCUAAGUCAGAUGUGAAAUCCAAUGGCUUAACCAUUGAACUGCAUUUGAAACUGGGAGCCUAGAGUUCAGAAGGGGCAGAUGGAAUUAGUGGUGUAGGGGUAAAAUCCGUAGAUAUCACUAGGAAUAUCAAAAGCGAAGGCGAUCUGCUGGGAUGAUACUGACGCUGAGGCACGAAAGCGUGGGGAGCAAACAGGAUUAGAUACCCUCGUAGUC
rnacentral:rRNA from 1 species